AGGCCCACCAUGGCGACGAUCAGUAGCCGUACUGAGAGGUAGAACGGCCACAUUGGGACUGAGACACGGCCCAAACUCCUACGGGAGGCAGCAGUGGGGAAUAUUGGUCAAUGGGGGCAACCCUGAACCAGCGACGCCGCGUGAGUGAAGAAGUAUUUCGGUAUGUAAAGCUCUAUCAGCAGGGACGAUGAUGACGGUACCUGACUAAGAAGCCCCGGCUAACUACGUGCCAGCAGCCGCGGUAAUACGUAGGGGGCAAGCGUUAUCCGGAUUUACUGGGUGUAAAGGGAGUGUAGGUGGUCAUGCAAGUCCGAAGUGAAAUCCCGGGGCUCAACCCCGUGACUGCUUUGGAAACUGUGUGACUGGAGUGCAGGAGAGGUAAGUGGAAUUCCUAGUGUAGCGGUGAAAUGCGUAGAUAUUAGGAAGAACACCGGUGGCGAAGGCGGCUUACUGGACUGUAACUGACACUGAGGCUCGAAAGCGUGGGGAGCAAACAGGAUUAGAUACCCUGGUAGUCCCCU
rnacentral:rRNA from 1 species